CAGGGGGGCGGUCUAACACAUGCAGUCGAGCGCGCCCUUCGGGGUGAGCGGCGGACGGGUGAGUAACGCGUGGGAACGUGCCCUUCUCUGCGGAAUAGCCUCGGGAAACUGAGAGUAAUACCGCAUACGCCCUUUGGGGGAAAGAUUUAUCGGAGAAAGAUCGGCCCGCGUUGGAUUAGGUAGUUGGUGGGGUAAUGGCCCACCAAGCCGACGAUCCAUAGCUGGUUUGAGAGGAUGAUCAGCCACACUGGGACUGAGACACGGCCCAGACUCCUACGGGAGGCAGCAGGGGGGAAUCUUAAACAAUGGGGGCAACCCUGAUCUAGCCAUGCCGCGUGAGUGAUGAAGGCCUUAGGGUUGUAAAGCUCUUUCAGCUGGGAAGAUAAUGACGGUACCAGCAAAAGAAGCCCCGGCUAACUCCGUGCCAGCAGCCGCGGUAAUACGGAGGGGGCUAGCGUUGUUCGGAAUUACUGGGCGUAAAGCGCACGUAGGCGGACCAAAAAGUUGGGGGGGAAAUCCCGGGGCUCACCCUCCGAACUGCCUUCAAAACUAUUGGUCUGGAAUUCCAAAAAAGGUGAUUGGGAAUUCCCAAUGUAGAGGUAAAAUUCA
rnacentral:rRNA from 1 species